rnacentral:rRNA from 1 species
UAUUGCACAAUGGGGGGAACCCUGAUGCAGCGACGCCGCGUGAGGGAAGAAGGUUUUUGGAUNGUAAACCUCUGUCCUCGGUAAANNAGNNNGNCGGUAGCCAAGGAGGAAGCCACGGCUAACUACGUGCNNNCNGCCGCGGUAAUACGUAGGUGGCAAGCGUUGUCCGGAAUUACUGGGUGUAAAGGGAGCGUAGGCGGUUAUGCAAGUUGAAUGUGAAAUCUAUCGGCUCAACUGAUAGGCUGCGUUCAAAACUGUAUAUCUUGAGUGAAGUAGAGGCAGGCGGAAUUCCUAGUGUAGCGGUGAAAUGCGUAAAUAUUAGGAGGAACACCAGUGGCGAAGGCGGCCUGCUGGGCUUUAACUGACGCUGAGGCUCGAAAGCGUAGGUAGCAAACAG